GGUCGUGUUAUUGACAAGUAUCGUGCUUCUUUAGCUCCUACAACAGUAGAAAUGUUGAUGUGCGGUGGAGAUUGGUGUCGAAAGCGACAUGGAGUGACUAAAAAGUCUAAGGUUGAAAAACAACAUUUGACAAUUGAUUUACCUAUAAAUAAAGUUGAUAAUUAGAAGUUGAAUGGUUAUGUCACGGAUUGAGAUUGAAAAGAUGGAAGCCUGGAAUCGUGGAAGUGAACUUUGGAUGCAGUAAGAGGAAUGGAGAGCUUCUGGAAUGACAAAAGGAUGAAGAGCUUUGGAAUAGAAGCAUGAAUGUGUAGCUUUGGAAUGUAGUGGAAAUGGAGAUCUUCUGGAGUCUGGAUUUGGGAGUUUGGGAUGCAUC